CUUAACAGUCUACCGAGCAGCAGUGGGAUUUGACCAUGGGGCAGCUGAUCCAGCAUGCGCGUGUGUGAAGAAGGCUUCGGUGUAAAGCACUUUGUCUGGAAAGAAAUCGCACUGGUAAUACUGGUGUGGAUGACGGUACCGGAAGAAUAAGGACCGGCUAACUACGUGCCAGCAGCCGCGGUAAUACGUAGGGUCAAGCGUUAAUCGGAAUUACUGGGCGUAAAGCGUGCGCAGGCGGUUGUGCAAGACCGAUGUGAAAUCCCCGGGCUUAACCUGGGAAUUGCAUUGGUGACUGCACGGCUAGAGUGUGUCAGAGGGAGGUAGAAUUCCACGUGUAGCAGUGAAAUGCGUAGAGAUGUGGAGGAAUACCGAUGGCGAAGGCAGCCUCCUGGGAUAACACUGACGCUCAUGCACGAAAGCGUGGGGAGCAAACAGGAUUAGAUACCCUGGUAGUCCACGCCCUAAACGAUGUCAACUAGUUGUUGGGGAUUCAUUUCCUUAGUAACGUAGCUAACGCGUGAAGUUGACCGCCUGGGGAGUACGGUCGCAAGAUUAAAACUCAAAGGAAUUGACGGGGACCCGCACAAGCGGUGGAUGAUGUGGAUUAAUUCGAUGCAACGCGAAAAACCUUACCUACCCUUGACAUGCCACUAACGAAGCAGAGAUGCAUUAGGUGCUCGAAAGAGAAAGUGGACACAGGUGCUGCAUGGCUGUCGUCAGCUCUGUCGUGAGAUGUUGGGUUAAGUCCCGCAACGAGCGCAACCCUUGUCUCUAGUUGCUACGAAAGGGCACUCUAGAGAGACUGCCGGUGACAAACCGGAGGAAGGUGGGGAUGACGUCAAGUCCUCAUGGCCCUUAUGGGUAGGGCUUCACACGUCAUACAAUGGUGCAUACAGAGGGUUGCCAAGCCGCGAGGUGGAGCUAAUCCCAGAAAAUGCAUCGUAGUCCGGAUCGUAGUCUGCAACUCGACUACGUGAAGCUGGAAUCGCUAGUAAUCGCGGAUCAGCAUGCCGCGGUGAAUACGUUCCCGG
rnacentral:rRNA from 1 species